ACUCAUUUCACUCACUAGUGGACCCUCAGAUUGGCAGUCUGAAACAAUCUAUUUUACUAAAUGAAUA
rnacentral:tRNA from 1 species